CUGGGGCUAAGCUAAUACUAAAAGAAUGAAGGAGCUGGACUUGGAGAUCUCUCUCACCUCUGAAGUUGUGUAAGUGAAGUAUACUGACCCAGUGUGACCACGCUGCUAUUCGAAGACUUACUCAAAGUUUUCAAACAGACUAACCAUGUGGGACUGUGAUUUAGCAAGGAAAACAGCCAGAAUAAACAUGUCAGUGUCUCCGUUUUAUGGUGGCUUCAUGUGCAGCAUUGUGACCUAUACCUCGGAGUUUUUCUUAUACCAGAUGAAGCUUGUUCUAUAGUCUUCACAAGGACAUAACACUUGUCAUAAGUAAAUGUUUCUAUUCUCUUGAUAUCAUUCCGAUUAUAUCAAAACGUGCUUUGAAACAACAAGCAGUAGAAUCACUUGGUAUAAUCUUGUCCUCAGUUGACAUGUUUACUUAUUUUUAUCCAGCCUAUGUUUGAAGUCCAACAUGAGCUCAUUUCUCAUGCUGGGGUGGAAUGUAUGAAGGGAUCCAAUUCUUUUGCAUCUUUAGAGAUUAUCUCAUGAAGCAAGGUUCAAUUUAGAACUCUGAGAUCUAACACUGAUUACUUAACUUUACGAGGAAAUACACAAAAAAAUCUGAAUGUCCAGACAAAAGCUGGAAAAAAAAACUUAUCUGUAUCUGCUUCAUCCUUUAUAAAAUGGAAACCUACAAGUGUUUUCCUAAUAAAAUUGUAGUGAACCUGCACAAAGUGAGCAUCUCCAUCACAUUUGCUAUUACUAUUGUGGCUACUAUUAUUAUUAUUGCCUAAAGUAUUGUCUAAGAUGAACACAGAUUUAGAGAUACUGCUACACUAAAUAGCACUUUCUACUAUUUAGUUAAUGUCUAUAUCAUAAUUAGUAUACAAUCAUAGUAGAUUUAUUCAGCAUGACACUAUCAUAAUAACUUAUUUCAAAGAGGUUUUGAAAUAUGGAUUUUAUAAUAUAAAAUAUUUUGAGAAUCCUUCACCCAGGGAAGUUUUAUUUAUAUAAUUAUUAUCUACUUCUAAUAGAUCCUAUCUGCCCACAAAUCCCCAAUAAUACCAGCUCUACUUCUGCUGCAGUAUAAUGCUGCAUUAGCAAGUUCACCUCUAAUUUACUAGCUAACACACACCCUGGAGUCUCCUUAGAUAAUUCCCAAACCUCCUGCUUUCAUCUAACCAAAAUGAGUAUCUUUCGUUGUUGGUAAAUAUAUGAGUUUCAGACGACUACGGUGCAAGCUGGUGAGCCUUGCUUUUCUAAUUUAUGUUUUAAUUAAUUUCCUUUCCAACUUGCUCCAUUUUGUGCAUUCUUUUCCUCUCAUGUGUUUGCAAUACUUCCCAGGGAAUAACACCUACAUUUUGAAUUAUAGAUUUCUUGAAUGCAUCUUUUAGGUAAUUAAGGUGUUAACAAAGACAAGACUCAAGUAUGAUCCUUAAAGAAUUUCUUGGCCUGGCGCGGUGGCUCACGCCUGUAAUCCCAGGACUUUGGGAGGCUGAGGAGGGCGGAUCAUGAGGUCAGGAGAUCGAGACCAUCCUGGCUAACAUGGUGAAACCCCGUCUCUACUAAAAAAUACCAAAAAAAAUUAGCCAGGCGUGGUGGCGGGUGCCUGUAGUCCCAGCUACUCGGGGGGCUGAGGUGGGAGAAUGGCAUGAACCCAGGAGGCGGAGCUUGCAGUGAGCCGAGAUCGUGCCACUGCACUCCAACCUGGGCAACAGAGCGAGACUCCAUCUCAGGAAAAAAAAACAAAAAACAAAAAACAUUUUUUUGCAUGUUUAAUCAACCAUUAC
rnacentral:lncRNA from 10 species